GAUCCUGGCUCAGGAUGAACGCUAGCUACAGGCUUAACACAUGCAAGUCGAGGGGCAGCAUGAACUUAGCUUGCUAAGUUUGAUGGCGACCGGCGCACGGGUGAGUAACACGUAUCCAACCUGCCGAUGACUCGGGGGAUAGCCUUUCGAAAGAAAGAUUAAUACCCGAUGGCAUAGUUCUUCCGCAUGGUAGAACUAUUAAAGAAUUUCGGUCAUCGAUGGGGAUGCGUUCCAUUAGGUUGUUGGG
rnacentral:rRNA from 1 species